rnacentral:rRNA from 1 species
UACGUAGGUGGCAAGCGUUGUCCGGAUUUAUUGGGUUUAAAGGGUGCGUAGGCGGGCAGGUAAGUCAGUGGUGAAAUCUCCGAGCUUAACUCGGAAACUGCCGUUGAUACUAUUUGUCUUGAAUAUUGUGGAGGUAAGCGGAAUAUGUCAUGUAGCGGUGAAAUGCUUAGAUAUGACAUAGAACACCAAUUGCGAAGGCAGCUUACUACACAACGAUUGACGCUGAGGCACGAAAGCGUGGGGAUCAAACAGG